UUUUUUUUUUUUUUUUCCUACUUUAGUUUUUCCUUCUGGUCCAGUUCGCCCACAUCUUCAAGAGGACACACUAGUAAAGGGUGAACUCCCCAAGUGCUGUGUGUUCUUAGGCAAGCUGCUUAACGUCUCUGUUUCUUCUUGGAAAUGCGAUCAUACUACGUGGUCUAGCCAAGUGGACUGACAUAAGGCUUGAAGCCCAUUUGUAUACGCACAUCCUUAAGUGCUCCAACUGUUUGACUUCACGGCAGGUCCACCAUAUCUCCAGCUUUUUCUUCCACAUGAAGCUACUUCACCAAUAUGCUCAUGGACACUUUGUAUUUUAAAGCCAUCUUUCUUGCUGGCCCCCUUACAGAGGAGUCGGCAGUUAUCAAUAGGCAGGACUCAAGCCUCUUUUCACCAUUAGGGUAUUUUGCACAUCCCUUCACAGGUUGUAGCUAAAAGAAUAAAAGUUAGAUUGAAAUAUUAAAUAACCUGGCUAGCCAGAGACAUUUUGCCAGAUGCUGGCACUUGUGUCCUAGAUAAUGAAAAGACCACUACAAUAAUGAGAAGCAAUGUUGGAUUUAAAAAAAAAAAAAAAAAAAAAAAAGGGCAGCCUUUGGAACAGGGUAAAUGGGACUCAAAUCCGUGUAGUAGCUAACGAUACUUGGGCUUCAAUUUAGGAGCUUCACUUGCCUCCUCCGUAAAAUGGGCCCAUUUGCAACAACCUCCAGACCUCCUGAAAGCAUUGAGUCCUUGAAAAAAACCGGAUAUAACGUGUAUAAGGUUCUCAGCACAGGGCCUGGCUGUGAUCCCUUGGAUGAAUGCAGGAGGCAUCCCGGAAUGCUAUGCAGAGUCAUAAUAAUAAUACCCAAAUAACAAUAAAACUAAACCUUCAUAUUUCUAUCCUUCCCAAUAUUUUGGGUCCCGGAUAAACUAGUCUAGUAAUGCGACAUAUGCAAAACACCAAGGUUAGCGGUCCUGUCGGCACCUUCCUCCCCACCCUGCCCCCAAACCACAAAUCCUCCGCCAUAUACAAAAUCCUUUCUCUAUUUAGGACUCCGUGGAAGCUUCGAGAACAGGACAGCGAUUGCUGGGACCUGGCCUCCACCCGCAACAAACGAGGUUGUACUUAACGAAUCCCUGGUGGCGGGGAUUUGACAUUCUGGACCUGAUGCAUCUGCCAGCCUCCGUCCCUGGUUCACACGCCCCUGAGGAUGCACUUUUUGCAUUGACUGUGUUUCUUUCGAUGCCAACCUAGACACCUCUCAAUAAAUUUCCGUUUGCCUGGGAGCUGACGGGCACAGAAAGCUAGAUUCAAUUUGUGCCGAUUUAUGAGGCACACGCACGGCCAUCCUGGAAACUUUCCUGGGGCUCACUUUAUAAAUUAACCCCUUAUUUAAAUAUUCUGCAGACUUAGCACCGGCCAGUGUUUGGGGGGCGGGAGGCACUGUCUCACAUCAGCCUUCUGGGUCUCUUGGUGUUUGCUGUCAUGACACCUGGGCCCUGCUCUGCACAGACAAUGCUGAUUUGCAAGAUUUAUGGGAGGAGGGGAGUGCCUGCGUCUCUUUGUCAUUCAGGCCACAGCAGCCCUGGUGGCACUGGGGUCCAAAGCAGGAACUUCAAGACCUCCGUAACUCAGGCACACGAGCAGCAUUUGGACUCGACAGAUCGUGGCUUCAUUCAUUCACUCAUUCACUGAUUCACCUAAAAUGUUUGGCAAAAACCAACAGGAUUCAAAACAGAGAAAAACACAAUACUUGGUCUCAAAGAAUGUAUAUUCUGCCUGUAGGCUCUCGUGGGAAGAGCAUGACAUUUAUGAGCCAGCAGACCCUGGCUGGAGGGUUCCCUCUGCCACUCAGGAGCUGUGUGAUUCUGGGUAACUUACUGGUCCUCUUAAGCCUCGGUGUCCUCAUCUGGGAAAUGGGUACCAUCCCACUCAGCUUCACAGAGGAUGCAUUGAGGAAACACUACUCGCUGAACUGCUGUGCAAACCUGAAGCGCCACACAAGCGAUCAAGAUUCUCAGACACGUGUCGGCAACACACAGGAGGAAGGAACGUGUGUCCAGUAAAGGAACCAAAGAGCAGUCACAGAAAACGAGACCCUGCCGCGGAGAGCCUAGCGGGGUCACAGUAACUAGGGGGUCCUCGCUGCGCUUUGUGGGUACUGUGACCCGAUUUUCUUUCCUCGUGGUUAAGAAGAAUGAGGAGGAGGAAAAGGAGGCGGAGGAACGAGACGGGGAUGGACAGGCUGUUGUCAAGAGAGGCGCGUGUCUGUAGUGGAGGAAGGAGAGUGUGAGACGGGCAUAAAAAGACGGAGGGAGAGAGAAGGCUGAGCCCGGUCGCUUUGCUUUCCUCGAUCCCAGCGACGCCCAGCUAAAGACACUGAGGGGAGGACCCCCCACACUGUCCAAAGCACUGAUUCUUCAAGGCAAGUGUCCUACUCUCGGCGGCGGGGAGGAGGGGGGCAAAAUAAAACCGGCGAUCUCAAAAGCCCCUGCCGUGCCGGCUGUAGCUGGAUGGAAUCCGCCUUUGGAGACCUCCGCUGACGGGAUGUGCGGGACGGCGUGCAGGGUCCCCUCUCGGGGGUCAUCUCCGCCGCUGACCCGCUGGCCUCUGCGACCUCGCUGUGACAGAUGGCUCCCUUUAGGGUGUUCGCUCUCCCAUCACGACCCCGCCCGAAAAGGCGGCGACUGUCCUGACGCAGAGGGAAGGGAUGGCUGCAUUUUCCAUGUUUCACGCCUUUGUCUGGGGCAGGACCAGGGAGCCUCCACGCGCACAUGAGAGGCAGCAGAGGGAAGUGGCAGACGGCCGGGACUUCCACCUAUGAUUACAACCUCCUUCCAGGUGGGGCCAGUGCCGUCUUCAGUGGCCCUGGUCUGAUGACUGGAAGUGCCUGAUGUCCCAGACCAGGGUCUAAACGGCCUGAGAACUCCCUCUGGCACGCUCUCUGGGAUCGCUCGCUGGCCACCAGCCAGACUCUGUGGAUGCCCGAGCAGCACCGUGGAAAGGCCCACGUGGUGAAGAACUGAGUCCUCCCGCCCAAAGCCACGUGCGUGCGCUAUUUUGGGUCUGAAACUUCCAGCCCAUUAACCCUUGAGAGACCAGAGCCCCCGCCAAUGGCUCCACUACAACUUCACUAGAGACUCCAAGGCAGAGCCACCUAGCUAAACGACUCUCUGAUUUCUGACCCAUAGAAAAUAGAAGAUAUUUGCUUAUUGUUUUAAACCCGGAAGCUUUGGGGUAACUUAUUAGGCAGCAAUAGAUAACUGCUACAAAGACUCAGGAAGGAGUACAUGAAUCUGGGAAAAAGAGAUACAAGCAACCUUGGAGUUCCCGUUAUGGUUCAGCAUGUUAAGAACCUGGCUAGUAUCCAGGAAGAUGGGGGUUCGAUCCCUGGCCUCACUCAGUGGGUUAAGGAUGGAGCAUUGUGGUGGCUGUGGUGUAGACCGGCAGCUACAGCUCUGAUUCUACCCCUAACCAGGUAACUUCCAUAGGCUGCAGGUGUGCCCCUAGAAGAGAAAAAAAACAAAGAUGAAAAGAGAUACAAACAACCCAACUGGCUAUCACUACGAGCAAGAUAAGAAGGGGGCUAUUCAAGAAACAAAAGUUACAUGGGGACCAACGAUGUUCGAACCUGCCAAGCGUGAUUUUCUCUCCGUAGCAGGUCCUGUAUCAACUAGGAGAUUCCAUUCUAGGGCUUGGAAAGGAGUGCGUCAGACACGUGCUCAUUAAAAGCUUCUGGGUGUAAUAUUAGUAAUUGCUAUUUUUGCUGGUAUACAACGAGCACUUGUGUCCAGGGGUUAUUAUUUAUGCUGUUUAAAAUUUUUCUUUUUGGAUCCUUUCAAUGCUCCUAAAAAUGGAGAUAGCGGAGUUCCCGUCGUGGCGCAGUGGUUAACGAAACUGACUAGGAACCGUGAGGUUACAGGUUCAAUCCCUGGCCUUGCUCAGUGAGUUGAGGAUCCGGUGUUGCCGUGAGCUGUGGUGUGGGUUGCAGAGGCGGCUCAGAUCCCAUGUUGCUAUGGCUCUGGCGUAGGCUGGUGGCUGCAGCUCCGAUUCGACCCCUAGCCUGGGAACCUCCACAUGCCUCGGGAGUGGCCCUAGAAAAGGCAAAAAGACCAAAAAAAAAAAAAAAAGAGAUAGCAAUAUUAUCACUGUUUCAUAGCUGAGGAAAAAAAAAUUUCAUCUAUCUAUUAGGUCUUUCACCUACCAGGGUAAGUAUCUAUUAGCCUCUCUCCUUCCAGGCAGGUCAUGGAUGCUGGCAUGGGCAAGUGGGGAUGGGCACCCAGGUGGGCUGACAGUGGGUACUUCAAGCUACAGAAUAAACUCAGUGCAUCUUCCCAGAGCAUCAGUGUUAGAACAGACAAGAGAAUUAAAAUGCCAUUUUUACAUUUACAUGAACAUAAAUAUUCUGGUAAAAUAAAAGUUCCCUGGAGCUUUUAAGAGGAAUCUUAGAGGCUCAUGGUGGGUGACCUCAGGGGUGUGUCCCAGACCCUCCAGGACACAUGUGCAGCCUCUGUAAAAGCACUGGCUGGGACACAGCUUAUAUAUGAGAGAAUGAAGGCUGAACAGGGGACGUGACCUCCAAAGUCACAGAGCUGGCAAUCAGAGAUCUGGGGUGUCCGGAGCCUCCAGCUCCUAGGGGACUCCUCUGUCUCCAGGCUGCUCCACCAGCCAGGCUGUGGCAGCUGCAAGGGACUGGGAGCAAAUCCCCUCCCUCUUACACUAUCUCCACUCCCUAAAUAUCGCAUCCCGCCCCUCCCGUCCCCUCCAACAAGGACUGUGAUUACGGCGGCGUCAUUAGUGCCCUCGAAGAAAAAGCGCCUUUCAGAUACUCCUAAAUGUGUUUGCAAUGAUCGCAGUGGCCCUUUUGAUAAAUAAUUGAAGAAGAGGCGAGUGACCUGGAGGCGGCAGGGGUGAGGACGGGGAUGCAGGAGGAGGCCAGGCGGCCCAGGGAACAGAAAAGUCAUUUACGGAGGCAAGGAGGGAGCUCUCCGCCUCCCUGGGGGCCCGGAGCUGCUCAGAUGUUCCCUCCAAUCCAGGCUGAUGCCAUCCUGCUUGGCCAAAUCGACCUGAACAGCCCAGAAAGCUGCGCGGCCGCACCUGUCACCCCCAAUCGGCGCUGCGGAAACUUUGUUAGGAAAAUAGAUGUACUGAGAUUCAAUUUUUCGAUUGUCUGAAGACUUCAUUUAGUGACCUUGGGGAGCCUCUCCUAGAGGUGAACGGAGAUGCUGGGAAUCUGCCUGGAGCCGGGGAGGCGGGGGAGACGGGGCUGCCCCGGUAAUGGGUAAUUUGUUUAACUCUCAUUUUCAGGCCUCCUCGGGAAGUCGUGGAAACAGUCAGAGAGGUGCUACCAUUUUCUUAAUGAAAAAAUAAAAAAUAAAAAAGACCUGGGGGCAGGAGGAAGGUAUGAGAGAGACUGACUCCCGGCCACGCUGUGUCACUUUCCUAAGAGCACUUAGGUCACUACGUCUUAAGACAGUGCGAAAAAAACAGAGAGACCUACCUGGAUGGAUGCACUUCUAAAGUGAUAGAUGGGGAGACAGCGAACCUGGGAGAUUUUUAAACGUAACACAAAGGAAGAGAAAAUGCUAAGCCCAGAGACCUACCAUCCGGACGCAAAAACUACUAGGACAGUGAUACUGCUCCCGUCCCUCCUGCCUUCUCCUCCCUCUUGCCUUCAUCCUCCGCCCCUUCUCCUUCCCCUGGCGGCUAUGGUAGCUACUGUCACUGUCACAGCUCUUGCCGCGGCACUACAGGGCAAGAGACCCACGGAGACGGUGUUCAGAGGAGGAGGCGCCCACCAGCUUGGCCCGUUCGAACACAAUCCGAGGAAAGGGACCUGCUUGGGUGGGGGCGGGGAUGGCGGCUGGAACGGGCAGGUGCCCGGCUCUGGCUCCAGUCCUCACUUGCUCUGGGCCCUUGUGAUGCGGCGCUCACCACCUCUCGGAGUCCCGAUUCCCUUUGAGUGAGAGGAUCCCCAAACCCUCAGCACAGAAGCUGGUCCAGGCUCAGGGGAGGCUCACCGUUCGCUGCUUGUGCCCCACACGCGUUCCAUGAUCUCCGGCCUGGGCUUCUAGAAAACCCUCUAGAUCAUGAAGGGGCAAACUUUUCCCGCACAGGGCGGAACAGUAAACACUUCAGGUGGGCCGGCUGAUCUCUGCUGCAGCGACUCAACUUUGCUAUCGUAGCUUGAGAGCAGGCAGGGACAGAACGGAGCCAAUCAGGCAAGGCUGUGUUCUCAUAAUUCCAAGUGUGAAAAAUGGGGAGGGGGGAGUUCCCGUGUGGCUCAGAGAGUUAAGAACCCAAGGUUGUCUCUGUGAGGAUGCAGGUUUGAUCCCUGGUCUGGCUCAGCAGGUUAAGAAUCUGGUGUUGGAGUUCCCAUCGUGGCUCAGUGGUUAACGAAUCCGACUAGGAACCUUGAGGUUCCGAGUUCGAUCCCUGGCCUUGCUCAGCGGGUUAAGGAUCCGGCGUUGCCGUGAGCUAUAGUGUAGGUUGCAGACAAGGCUCAGAUCCCGCGUUGCUGUGGCUCUGGCGUAGGCCGGCAGCUACAGCUCCGAUUCGACCCCUAGCCUGGGAACCCCCAUAUGCCGCGGGAGUGGCCCAAGAAAUGGCAAAAAGACAAGAAAGAAAGGAAAAAAAAAAAAAACAAAAAACAAUCUGGCAUUGCCACUAGCUGCAGAGUAGGUCAGAGACGCAGCUCAGAUCCGGUGUUGCUGCGGCUAUUAUGUGGGCCGAGGCUACAGCUCUGACUGACCCCUGGCCCGGGAAAUUUCACGUGUCACAGGUGCAGCUGUAAAAAGCAAAAAUGGGGGGAGGGGAAUCAGCUGGCUUUGGCGUCCCUUGGGCUGUAGUUUGCUGACCCUUUUGCUUUAGAUCAACUUUCCUCAAGGUGUCAUCCACGCAUCACUGCACUGCUUGGUAAACAUGCAGACCCCUGGGUCUCAUUCUGGAUCAGCUAUAUUUUACACCUUUUUUUUGGCUGCACUUGUGUCAUGUGGACGUUCCCAGGCCACGGAUCAAACCUGCACCGUGGCAGUGACCAGAGCCACGGCAGUGACAAUGCAGGCUCUUUAACAGCUCAGCCACCAGGGAACUCCUGGCAGCCCCUUUAAGAUGAGGUCUGAGAGCUGGUCCCCCCAGAUCCUGAAGCAGGUGAAGUUGGAGAACCUGUCUUCUAGUCUGACUUAGAACCUGUGACCCUUUGCCAGACCCGGAAAUAAAACGGAGGAGGAGGAGGGUGUGAAAUGAAGCGGGCUUUCCCGGGGCUACAUUUUCCUCCUGGACUCCUAACGGGCCUGAGCAAGCGUCCAGUGCUCCCAGGACACUAUCGCCGUCCUGGAUAAGUCACUCACGUCACUCACCACUCAGGACAGAAGCGAACCUUCUCGCUCCUCUCAGGCUCAGAGCUCAGUGUAUGGACAAACAGAAACAGGCCCUGGGGCUUGCAGGACAGGGGACUCAGGGAACAAAUCUAAAAGAAGAGACGUGGUCGCGGGAGGCUUUGGGGUCAGAGAAGCAGGGAGAGGGGGCGGCCGAUGCUCAGAAAGGUGGAACAAUUGCUCAGCCAGACAGAUGAGCCUGAUCUUUCGAAGUAACCCACGCUAUGGAACAGGUGCUGGGCACUGCUCCGAGCGCAUCACUGGUACUAACUUGUUUCCAUGGCCCUGGCAUCACAAGAGGUGGGUUCUGCUACAGUCCCCAUAUCUAGGAUGAGAAAACAGGUGCCCAGAAAGGCUGAGUACCUUUCCAAGGUCACAGAGAACAGAGCUCUCAGGCCAGCGGCUCCACUGCAGAACCCACAGGGUGCUGGCUCCUGCACCGUACAUACUUCUCACAAAAGCACAGCUAGCGGGAAUCCAGGGGGCCCUGCGUCAGCUGGGAUGCGAGAUCACUGUCAGAAAACAGUCCCUGAUUCCCUGCCUUAGUAUCAGAAAUUCUAGAGCCUCACUCUCCGCUCCGUUUUAUCUCCCAACGAGCAAGCUGGGCCCUGGCUCCACCGAGCUCCAGGCCCACUCCUGUGCUUUCCUGAAGCCCUGCAGAAGCUGCCCUCCAGCCUCUGGGAUCAGGCCACACUCUCCUGUGCCGACCCUUUGGGGCUCCUGCAAGCCUGGGGUAGCGUGGCAGGAACCAAGGGGUGACAUUCCAGCUUUGCAAUUCACAGCUGUGCAGCUCUGGCACCUUCACCUUCCUUACCCUCUCGGGCUCUUGAUUUCCCUCCUCUAUGAAAUGGGGAGAACCGGGUCCAGAUGUCAGGAUUAACGAGACGUAUGAGUACAGGAGGCAGACAAAGCUGCUCGAAGGACAGAGGCAGGGUCACCUCCACCACGUGGCUUCAGAUCCUGCUCUGAGGCCCAAAUGGCUCAUUUGUAAAAUAGAAAUAAUAACAGUACCCACAUUACAGGCUUGGGGGAUGAGAGACAGUGACAGGAGAAGCAGUAUUAUUAUGGCAUGUUAGUAAUAAAAGAUCACUGGCACACAAUUACCGCGAACAGUAACAAUAGCAAAUAACCAACUUAAGAAAUAGAGUGAGGAGUUCCCGUUGUGGUACAGUGGAAGCAAAUCUGACUAGGAACCAUGAAGUUGAGGGUUCGAUCCCUGGCCUCGCUCAGUGGGUUAAGGACCUGGCAUUGCUGUGGCUGUGGUGUAGGUGGCAUCUACAGCUCUGAUUUGACCCCUAGCCUGGGAACCUCCACAUGCCGUGGGUGCAGCCCUAAAUAGACAAAAAAGAAAAAAAAAAAAAAAAAA
rnacentral:lncRNA from 1 species